rnacentral:rRNA from 1 species
CCUACGGGGGGCAGCAGUGAGGAAUAUUGGUCAAUGGACGCAAGUCUGAACCAGCCAUGCCGCGUGCAGGAAGACUGCUCUAUGAGUUGUAAACUGCUUUUGUACGAGGGUAAACGCAGACACGCGUACCUGUCUGAAAGUACCGUACGAAUAAGGAUCGGCUAACUCCGUGCCAGCAGCCGCGGUAAUACGGAGGAUCCAAGCGUUAUCCGGAUUUAUUGGGUUUAAAGGGUGCGUAGGCGGUCGGAUAAGUUAGAGGUGAAAUCCCGAGGCUCAACUUCGGAAUUGCCUCUGAUACUGGUCGGCUUGAGAGUAGUUGCGGUAGGCGGAAUGUAUGGUGUAGCGGUGAAAUGCUUAGAGAUCAUACAGAACACCGAUUGCGAAGGCAGCUUACCAAGCUACUUCUGACAUUGAGGCUCGAAAGCGUGGGGAGCAAACAGGAUUAGAUACCCCGGUAGUC